AGGAAGGUGGGGCCGAGCUAAAAGGGACCAAAUAGGAGCGGGGGCGGGGGGUGGUGCCCGUUCCUCGUGCAGCCAAUAGAAGAGAAGAGCCUAAGAGUCAAAGCCAAAGAGAUCAGGCGCUCGUAAGGGAUCGAGACCAGUAGAGGCAUCGUGUUUUCUAACCGGCGGCGCUUGCUGACGCUGCGAAAUUUUGCACUGGGAGCACUGCAGGAGUUCCGGCUGGGAGCGCGGACCAUAGAGGAGCGCAUCUUGGAGGAGGCGGAUUGUCUGCUCGGCGAAUUUCAAGCCACCAUUGGAGCACCGUUUGACCCCCGGCGGCUACUAGAUAAUGCUGUAUCUAAUGUUAUCUGUUCGGUGGUCUUCGGGAACCGCUAUGGCUAUGAGGACCCUGAGUUCCUGAGGCUCCUGGACCUCUUCAAUGACAACUUCCGCAUCAUGAGUUCCAGAUGGGGUGAGAGGGCCCACCCCAGUCCCUUCCUCCCGUGUCAAACCUGUGCCAAGCCCCAAGUACAUACACUUUGCCUAUAUUGGAUCAUUAGAUUGAGAGUCUUGGAAUCUUGGAAGGGAAGAGUUCUAGAACUAAGAACAUUAAAAUCCUGGUGCAAGGGCACCUGGGUGGCUCGGUCUGUUAAGUGUCCAACUCUUGAUCUCAGCUCAGGUCUUGAUCUCAAGGUCAUGAGCUCAAGCCCCGGGCUGGACUCUGUGCUGGGACUAAAGCCCUACUUUAAAAAAAAAAAAAAAAAAAGUCCUGGUUGUAAUUUCCCCUGCAGGGGACCUAGUGGUCUUGUUCAAGGUCCAGUUGCCACCUUGUGCCCCCAGAUGUACAAUAUUUUCCCCUCCCUCCUUGACUGGCUCCCGGGUCCACACCACCGAAUCUUUCAAAACUUCACGGAGCUUCAGGUCUUCAUCUCUGAGCAAAUCCAGCAGCACCAACAGACACAGCAGCCAGGGGAGCCCCGCGAUUUCAUUGAUUGCUUCCUCGAUCAGAUGGAGAAGGAACAGAAAGACCCAGAGAGCCAUUUCCAGGAGGAGACGUUGGUGAUGACCACACACCACCUUUUCUUUGGCGGCACUGAGACCACAAGCACCACUCUGCGUUACGGGCUCCUUUUUCUGCUUAAGUACCCUGAGGUGGCAGGUCUGUGAGCUGGAAAGCCUGGGAUGAGGGGCUAGGGUUUGGGGUGGCUGGGGGUCAGGACACACGCAGCUCACGCCCUCUGCCCACCCCAGCCAAAGUGCAGCGGUAGGUCGGACACGCACCCUGAGGCUGGAGGGCCGCAAGCGCCUGCCCUACACCAACGCGUGCUGCACGAGAUCCAGCGCUUCAUCAGCGUGCUGCCGCUGGGGCUGCCACGCACCCUCACCCGGGACACCCACUUGCGUGGCUACUUUUUGCCCAAG